GUUAUUGGUGUACAACUUUGAGCGGUGGAUCACUCGGCUCGUGUGUCGAUGAAGAGUGCAGCCAACUGUGUGAAUUAAUGUGAACUGCAUACUGCUUUGAACAUCGACACUUCGAACGCAUCUAGAAAUCGGAU
rnacentral:rRNA from 1 species